rnacentral:miRNA from 1 species
AUAGCAAAUCGAUAAGCAAUG